UACAGAGGGGGCAAGCGUUGUUCGGAAUUACUGGGCGUAAAGGGCGCGUAGGCGGCCCGCUAAGUCGAACGUGAAAUCCCCGGGCUCAACCCGGGAACUGCGUCCGAUACUGGUGGGCUCGAAUCCGGGAGAGGGAUGCGGAAUUCCAGGUGUAGCGGUGAAAUGCGUAGAUAUCUGGAGGAACACCGGUGGCGAAGGCAGCCCCCUGGGUCAAAACUGACGCUCAUGCACGAAAGCGUGGGGAGCAAACAGG
rnacentral:rRNA from 1 species